AUCUUUGUUGUGGGCAGGGCUUUCUAACUUUGUAACCUUGCUGCUCCUACGAAGGGAAGGCCACGACUCCGCCAUUUUUGUAACGGGCGUUUCAAUUUAGUUUAAUUUAAGAUGCCCAGGACAGGAAGCAACACAGAUGAACAUUCUGAAGGCAGAGAAAUGGCAAUUCUAUGUACCCUUACAUGGGAUGAGACCCACUGGCCCCACUGAAAAGUACUCCUAAGUGAACAUUCAUAGAACCAGGCAGCACAGCGACAAAUACCAUAAUAAGAUAAUAUACGUGAAAGCUCUUUUUGCAUCUGUCUUAUUCAUGCUAACUUAGGAGUAAGUAGCUUGAAGAUGUUUAACUUGCGGAGGAACUAAAUGACAUCACUGAGCGCAUCCAUGAAAAGAUGUGCACCACUGCAUACCUGCAUGCUCACUCAGUCAUCUGCACAUGGGUGUUCCAAUGUGCUAUUCAUGGAUGAUCAAAAGGAAGCUGCCAAUUGUAGAUGGUGCCCUGAGUCUAACAACUGGUGGUUGAAGGAAGUUCAAGGGCCAGGACAAAUAAACUACCUCUUGGUAACAUCA